AGGAUGAACGCUGGCGGCGUGCCUAACACAUGCAAGUCGAACGUCCUGUCUCGCAAGAGGCAGGGAGUGGCGGACGGGUGAGUACCACGUGGGUUAUCUACCGUGAGGUGAGGAAUACCGGCGAGAAAUCGCCGACAAGACCGCAUAGCCUCGGUGCAAGCCGAGGAAAGCUUUCUCGAGAGAGGGAGCGCCACACGAGGAGCCUGCGCCCGAUUAGCUAGCUGGUGGAGUAACGGUUCACCAGGGCGACGAUCGGUAGCUGGUCUGAGAGGACGAUCAGCCACACUGGGAUUGAGAACGGCCCAGACUCCUACGGGGGGCAGCAGUGAGGAAUUUUCGUCAAUGGGGGCAACCCUGAACGAGCAACGCCGCGUGCAGGAAGAAGGUUUUCGGAUCGUAAACUGCUUUUCUCGGGGAAGAGAACGGACGGUACCCGAGGAAUCAGCCCGGCUAAUUACGUGCCAGCAGCCGCGGUAA
rnacentral:rRNA from 1 species